UACGGAGGGUGCGAGCGUUGUCCGGAAUCAUUGGGCGUAAAGGGCGCGUAGGUGGCCACUUCAAGCGUGCGGUGAAAGUCGGGGGCUCAACCCCUGAUCGGCCGUGCGAACUGGGGGGCUGGAGCACUGUAGAGGCAGGCGGAAUUCCGGGUGUAGCGGUGGAAUGCGUAGAGAGUCCGGAAGAACACCGGUGGCGAAGGCGGCCUGCUGGGCAGUUUUGCUGACACUGAGGCGCGGACAGCGUGGGGAGCAAACAGG
rnacentral:rRNA from 1 species